GUUUAACUACUUAGCAUUUAUGGAAGGCAGUUUACAAAAAGCCAUAGAGGUUUAUGAUAAGCUGGUCAAGUAAUUAGUUGAAUAGAUUUUAUAAUUCUUUGCACUUCUCAUCUGAUAAUAACUACCGUAUAGGUAGUAGACUUGACAGUAGUUCAGUAUUUUCUGUUAACAGAGUUGUGUUUAUAACAAUUACAGUCAACUACUGUGGUUCUUCAGUUGCACAGAGUAGCUUUUGGCAAAAGUGAAAAAACCUACAACCAACCUACAUCUUUUUACCUAGGAGGAAUAAUAUUGAGUUCUUAAUAACAGACUAUACUUCAUUAUAGCCUGUGUGUGUGACUAGCUAGGUUGAAAUGUACUGUGCAUGAUAAGCCUUGUAAAGCAAGUUAUAUGUUGAAAUUAGUAUCUUUGGAAGUGUAGAUAGAUAGCUGGAGAAAAAUGUAAUGAUUUGGAGCUUGUACUCCAGAGGGGAAAAUGUAUUUCCCGUGUUUAUAGAGAAUAGAAGAAUAAUGGGCAGGGGUUGAAUGUAAAGGGAAUUAAGGGAUAUCUUAGAAUGGAGAAGAAAAGGAAUAGAUUUUGAAGGAAAAUAGCAUACACAUUCCGUACUCAGUCACAUUUGGAAAAUAGGGAAUAUAAAAUUUACUCCAAUAUUAACUGUUAAAAGGGUAAAGAGGAU
rnacentral:lncRNA from 1 species